UCGCCCUCCGUCUCCUCUCCUCCCGCCCGCCCGCCCGCGCCGCCGCGAUCGCCAUGGCUCCCCUUCCCCCCUCCCGUCCACCGACGCCGACGACUCCGGCGGAGACGUACGCCCCGUCGUCGCGGAUAGACUCGCCGUCCCUGAAGGCCGCCCUCGCAAUGGCCCUCAUCCACUACAACCGCCUCCCCGGUAAAACCGCCACCGACGCCGCCGCCGCCGCCACCGCUGGCACAUCAUCCCCGCCUCUUCUCCACUGGAAGCGCAAGGCCAAGGACCGGAAGCGCGAGAUACUCCACCUCCGCGAGGAGCUCAAGCUCCUCCAUGAUGGGGUGCGUGGGGAGGAGAUGGAGCCGCCGGUCGCGUCGUGCCGGUGCCACUUCUUCGACGGGUGCGCGGACUUGCGGCCGCAGCCGGGUGGCGACGGUGGGGAGCACUGGGUCGACGAGGUUCUGAGGAGGAGGUUUCUCAGACUGGUGCGGUGGAAGGAGAAGCGACGGCGAGUGGAUCGACCUCUUCCAAGGAUUAGUUUGAUUGAUUUCAACAGUGAGGAUGAGAUGCAGCAGCUUAGCUUGUCAACUGAUUUCCUGGUGGAGCUUUCUGAUGGCAUUUCUGCCAAAAGAGAAGCUGGCUCCACAUUUGCUACAUUUUCUCACCAGGCAGUAGACUUCAUUUUGGCUUCAUUGAAGAACAUUCUAUCAUCAGAAAGGGAAAAGGAGCUAGUUGAGGAGAUAAUCGAUGGUUUAGUGACCCGUUUGAUGAAAAGGAUGUGCACCAUUCCUGAAAAUGAUGGAUCAGUUGACUGCUCAGAUGCCCAAUUCUCUGUGCAGCAUUUGUUCCGUAAGUUAGGAAAUGCAGAAUUCAUUGGUCAGCGGAUAAUACUUGCAGUUUCCCAAAAGAUCUCAAAUGUAUCAGAAAGAUUACUUCUGGUUGAUCCAUUUGAUGAUGCUUUCCCUGAUAUGCAUGGCAAUAUAUUCAUCAUGAUUCAGUUAAUCGAGUUCCUCAUCUCUGAUUACAUGAAAGAUUGGAUACACUGUGAGCAUUUUGACAAAAGACUUUCUGAAGAAUGUGCCAGAUCUAUUCUCAAGGCACGCAUGGAUUUGCAAGUCCUGGAGAACAUGAAUGGGCUGUAUGUAGUGUACAUUGAGCGAGUGGUCGGAAGGUUGGCAAGAGAAUUGGCUCCUGCUGUACAUCAGGGGAAGCUGGACCUAGAAGUCUUUUCGAAACUCUUGUGCUGAGAGUCCUCAACCUGACUUUUCAAUGUAUUUGCGGACAAGUCACUUGGCUGACAUUUUCUUAUGAACUACUUUAUGAUGCCUUGCUGCUAACACACUCCCAUCUCAGCUUCUGCAUGUCGAUUUCAGGGUGAUUAGCUACACAAAGGUGGUCCAGCAAGCAGGUAUUCUGUUCUCCAUUGAAUGACUGGAACCAAGGCGCAGUCAAAAUUGCUGUAGAGAUGGUUUACCUAUUAUGCGCAUUUAGCUGUAAAUUUGUGAGGACGUUCUAGAAUAUGUGAUAUCGUAUACAUGUUCUGAUAAGCUGAUCGAUGGAGACGAGUCAACGGGCCCCACCAGUCUGUCCGUUUGCCCCACCAGUACGACGGCAACGUCAUAUCAUGUGGCCGGGCGUCGAGAUAUCUGAGGCCAUGGCAUGAAGCCACAACAAUACAAGUUGGAAUGCAUUUGAUCUUGUGUGUAAGUGCUCGUGUCACCCACAACAAGAGAAAUUAGAGGGGAAAUGCAAAAUCAUAUGGGCUUAUACACAUACGGUUUAUCUCAGUCGCCCGUUUUUCUCAACUGAUA